GGCCUCGAUGGCUGUACUAAAGCCUUCUCCUUGCUGGCGUGGGUUCGAAUCCCACCGAGGCCA
rnacentral:tRNA from 1 species